UACUCUCCACUCCAACAUAUCCAGCGAUUAUCUUGCACAGGGGUGUAAAACAUGUGGCCUGUGGGCCAGAAUCCGCCCACCAAAGGGUCCAAUUUGGCCCACUACAUGACUGGACUAAGAGGUGCCAGGUUUCAGGAGCAAGUUUAACAAUGUGUUGCCUACUUUGUGUAAAACUCUGCCUCAAAGGCUUUUCCACCAUGACCAGAAUACAGAUCUCUGAUAUAACAAUAAAUACUUACUGUGACCAUGUUUAAAGACACUAAACAUUGUGCAAAAUAUUGUCAAUCAGCAGCUUCAGUCCAAAAGAAUCUGUAUCAGGAAAUGUAUGGAUAAAUGCAUAUGUCAUAACAGAGAGAAGUCGACUGACUGAAUGUGGAAAAACUGAGACAUAUUAUUGAAAUUGCACUUAUUUUUCAUGACAUCUCAAGCUGUUCAACUGUUUUAUAACAGGAUGAACAGCUACAGAAUGUACUUGUAAUUCUUUACACCAAAAAAGGGAAAAUAUUGGAGCUGAUGGUACUUAUAGGUUAUUGUGUGAUGGUUUUAUUGGUCCCGCCCGCUGGAGAUCAAACAGUGCUAUAUGUGGCCCAUGAACAACAAAGACUUUGAAACUCCUGCUGUAGCAGGUCCUAAAUUGUGAUAAUCACUCACUAAUAAACACAAUAAGGUGACCAAGAGGUGGUACACUUACUGCAGACCGACCAUUAGCAUUAGAUCUUUGUAGCAUUUUCCCUUAAUGAGCAAUUUUUUAAAUGUAAAAAGUCGGUUGCAGUUUUCUUGCCCCCCUCUGGGUGGUGCCCUUUGCAGCCACCUACAUUGGUGUGAAAACACCCUCAACCAAGGUGUUGUACACUGGUAGUGGUGAACACAGUGUCAGCAGCUGAUCCCCAGAAAGAACAACAGGUUCCUGAGUGUCUCUUUGAUAAUAUUAUAAAUAGUAGUCCCUCUAAAGAAAACAUGCCCUGUCAUAUCAUAUGCAUAUGUUCUUGUUCUUCACCUUUCCCAACAAUCCUUUGGUUGCUGUGUGCAGAAACACAUGCACUUGUUCAGCAACUUCACCAGGCUUAUUGUAUAAAAGAAUGAUGCAUAAAGUACAUUUCAUUUUCUUUAUUCAGAAUUUCUAUUUAAAUACAAAACUAAUGUGAGAAAAAUGCAGAGACAGAUGUGUUUCAAUGUGUGAUAAUAAACUCUCACUCAUGUUGGUAAAAAAAAGUUAAAGUUGACACUAUCUGUUACAGUACUAACAUGUUACUGGCAAGGUAAAUAUUACCUCAUCUGGGACAGGAAACAGUUCCUUCCAACAUCUGAAAGGGAAGGCACAUUCUCCUCAGCAGAGAGAACAUUCGUACUGAUCACACCAGGUUUGAAUCAGCGCUUGGAAUUAGAAACAUAAAGUAUCUGCAAACAUCAGCUACUCAACAGUUACAAAAAUAAACAGUAGUUCUUGCUCAGACCUCCUCACAUUGUCUACUGCAGGGAGAGUUGAUGAGAUUUUAAUUGAACUCACAUGAAAAAUCAUAUUGUUGAUUAAUCACUAUGUUUUGCACAGGUUUAAGACAUGACGGGCAAAUAAAAGGAUCAUCAUAAUGACUGGAGCAUUUUUUCGAAAACUUUCCAGUUGAGGGACGUCGAACACAGCUGACAAUCGAUCAAUGAUCAACCACUAUUUGUGCAGUAAAAAAGUUACUCAUUGUGUUCUGUAUGGGGGCCCAUACAGACUGGGGCUGCCCUGGAUUUCCCCCCUUAAUUACUGUAGUAAAAAUCACAUACAUACACCGGCCACUUUAUUAGGUACACCUGUUCAACUGCUCUUUAACACAAUAGUUAAUCAGCCAAUCACAUGGCAGCAGCUCAAGACAUUUAGUCAUGUAGACAUGGUGAAGACGAGCUGCUGAAGUUCAAACGGAGCAUCAGAAUGAUGAAGAAAGGUGAUUGAAGUGACUUUGAACGUGGCAUGGUUGUUGGUGCCAGACGGGCUGGUCUGAGUAUUUACUGGGAUUUUCAGCACAACCAUCUCUAGGGUUUACAGAGGAUGGUCCCAAAAAGAGAAAAUAUCCAGUGAGCCAAAAUGCCUUGUUGAUGCCAGAGGUCAGAGGAGAAUGGCCAGACUGGUUCAAGAUGAUAGAAAGGCAACAGGAAGUCAAAUAAGCACUGGUUCCAACCAAGGUGUGCAGAAGAGCAUCUCUGAAGCAACAACACCUUGUCCAACCUUGAAGCAGAUGGGCUACAGCAGCAGAAGACCACACCAGGUGCCACUCCUGUCAGCUAACAACAGGAAACUGAGGCUACAAUUCACACGGGUUUUCUCACCAAAACUGGACAAUAGAAGAUUGGAAAAACCACAUUCAGAUGGAAGCAUGGAUCCAUCCUGCCUUGUAUCAACGCUUCAGGCUGCUGCUGGUGGUGUAAUGGUGUGGGGGAGAUUUUCUUAGUACCAACUGAGCAUGGUUUAAACACCACAGCCUACCUGAGUAUUGUUGCUGAGCGUGUCCAUCCCUUUAUGACCACAGUGUACCCAUCUUCUGAUGGCUACUUCCAGCAGGAUAACGCACCAUGU